UUAGUUUCAAUCUCAUUCUUACAUCUUGCGCCGAAGAUGAGCUAUAGGCCCCUACUCUCUGGGCUUUUCUUGCGUAGCGUAGGUGGAGGGCGAAGAAGGCCUCCUUUCGGGGGGGGGGGGGGGGGGGGGGGGGGGUGGGGGGGAGGGCUCGAGUCAUCAGUGAGAUACCACUCUAGAAGAGCUAGAAUUCUAACCUUGUGUCAGGACCUAUGGGCGAAGGGACAGUUUCAGGUAGAUAGUUUCUAUGGGGCGUAAGCCUCCCAAAAGGUAACGGAGGGUUGCAAAGGUUUCCUCGGGCCGGACGGAGAUAGGCCCUCGAGUGCAAGGGCGAAAGGGAGCUUGACUGUAGACCCACACAUCGAGCAGGGACGAAAGUCGGCCUUAGUGAUUCGACGGUAAGAAGUGGAAGGGUCGUCGCUCAACGGAUAAAAGUUACUCUAGGGAUAACCGGUUGAUCUUCCCCAAUAGCUCACAUCGACAUGAAGGUUUGGCACCUCGAUGUCGGCUCUUCGCCACCUAGGGUUGUAGUAUGUUCCAAGGGUUGGGUUGUUCGCCCAAUAAAGCGGUACGUCAGCUAGUUUCAGAACAUCGUGAGAUAGUUCGGUCCAUAUCCAAUGUGGGCAUUAGAGCAUUGAGGGGACCUUUCCCUAGUACGACAGGACCAGGAAGGACGCACCCCUGGUGUACUAGUUAUUGUGCCCAUGGUAAACAUUGGGUAGCGAAGUGCGAAGUGGAAAACUUCUAAAAGCAUCUAAGCAGUAAGCCCACCCCAAGAUGAGUGCUCUCCUAUUCCGACUUCCCAAGAGCCUCCGGUAGCACAGCCGAGACAGCGAUGGGUUCUUUGCCCCUACAGGGAUGGAGCGAAAGAAUUUUUGAGAAUUCAAGAGAAGGUCACGACAAGACGAGCCGUUUCUCAUUAACGAUAGGUGUCAAGUGGAAGUGCAGUGAUGUAUGCAACAAUGACAUCCUAACAGACCGGUAGAAUUUAACCUUUUUCCUACAUGA